rnacentral:lncRNA from 1 species
UCUUCACGAGUCAUCCUUGCAAAUGCAGCAACUACCGUCGCCUUUAUAACACAUUGAACUCAGUGACUCGCGUAUGCAUAUAAAAUUGCAUAAAAUCACUUCAUAACAUGUUUCAACUCAUAACAAACAGUGAUACACAAAUAUCAUGUUUUAGGAUUCUUAACUCUAGCUACUCAAUUAACCUUUGACAAACAAAAUUACAUAAAUAAACAUUAAAAAACUGUAAUUGUGCUAGUAUGCAGCUGAGGACUCAUACCAACUC